CAGUAGCCGCGGUAAUACGGAGGGUGCAAGCGUUAUCCGGAUUUAUUGGGUUUAAAGGGUCCGUAGGCGGACUUAUAAGUCAGUGGUGAAAGCCUGUCGCUUAACGAUAGAACUGCCAUUGAUACUGUAAGUCUUGAGUAUAUUUGAGGUAGCUGGAAUAAGUAGUGUAGCGGUGAAAUGCAUAGAUAUUACUUAGAACACCAAUUGCGAAGGCAGGUUACCAAGAUAUAACUGACGCUGAGGGACGAAAGCGUGGGUAGCGAACAGGAUUAGAUACCCCGGUAGUCCCUGUCUCUUAUAA
rnacentral:rRNA from 1 species